rnacentral:lncRNA from 1 species
UAGAACUUCAAAACAAGAGCAAGCCAGCCAGUUUUUGCUCAUGAAAAUAAUAUAUAAACAGUAUGAUUAAGAAUUAUGUAAAAACAGUGACAAAGAAUUUUAAAAAAUAAAACACCAAAAAGUAACAGUGGUUAUCUCUAGCUGAUGGGAUGAUUUUUUCUUCUUUCUAUAUUUAUUUUCCAGUUUUUUACAAUGAACAAAUAAUUUUGUAACACUUACAAAUAUAUAUUCUCUUUGAAGAUGGGUCUAGACUUGGGAGUCAUUAGCCUUUAAGUUACAAAUUAUGCUAGGUAUAUGGAUGAGCUAGCUCAUAAGAAUAUACUUGAUGAAAAGUAGCCUAGUAACAAUCUUGAGAAAUACUAAUAUUUAGGAACCAAGGUAGAGAGAAAGUAAACCACCAAAAAAUUCUAAUAACAAGCAGCCAGACAGGUAGAAGAAGUAGGAGCGAUUCCUUUCAUCUAAACCAAUGCAGGACAGGAAUUUCAAGGAAGGAAGGAUUAAGGGUUUCAAUUUCCAUAGACCAGCAGUCAAGUAAAAUAAAUACAGGAAACUGCCUAUGGGAUUUGGUGCUUCUGAGUCAUUGGUGACAUUUCCAAGAGUAGCUUUAGUAGACUAAUGGUGGAAGAGGCCAGGCUGCCAUGGAUUAAACAGUUAAUGGGAAGUAAAGUCAAAAUAGAAUGUUCCUUUUUCAGGAAAUGUGGCUGUAUUUUCACUAGAGAGAAGUUGUCAUUUAACAGCUAUUUAGUCUGCCUCCGUGGAAAACAAUCAGCAUAAAUUUCCUUCUUUCUCCUUUAAAUUUACAAUUAAUUUUCAGAAUUGAAAUACAGUUUUGCUCAGCAUGGAGAUUAUUACAAGGAUGAAUUAAAUAAAAUAUGAAAGGGAUUCACACAGGGCCUGGUACCUAGGAGAAACCCAACAAUGUUAGUUUUCUGAAAGAAUUACAUCAAAAGAAUAACACUGGUCAUGGGAGAUAACUGAUAGGAAGGAGUUUUUCUUUUCUGUCUUGUCCAAUUUUUCUAAAAUAUAAUUUGUUAUUUUUAUAUUUUGAUGUUUCCAUUCCCCAGAAGUGUGAAAAUAAAAAAUCACCAGUGUGAAAUCUCAGUUUACAGUAUGAAAUCAUAUCUGUGAAAUCAAAGCACAGUUUAACUCAUUAAGUAUUGGGAACUGAUAACCUAUAUUCAAGGCACAAACAUUAAUACAACAGAUCUCUGCAUUGAAAUAUAUACCGAAAUAAAUGUAGUAUUUAGUACCAUAUCUGAUACAUAAAAAGUGAUUAAUACAUAAAUGAAUAAGUGAAAAAAUCUGUGGUAAAUUGAGUGAAUGAGGUGGUGCCAAGUUGAAUAAAUGACAUAAUUCAUGAACUUGCAUAAAAGCCUUACCCAGGAGUCUGUUCUAAUCCUGCCACUCAAUAAAUGGUUCAGUGAAUCUCAACUUUUAAUACCUCAUUUGUGAAAUGGGCAAAACAAAUAUCUUACAUAUGGGUGUUUUUAAAGAUAAACUAAUCACUUAAGAAGCACUUACUCCAUGUCCAGGGUAUAUGUGACUUGAACCCUGGCCAAUGAUCUGGAGCAGAGGAGCACACAAUCAAAUCAAGACUCACCAGAAAGAGCUGCAAAUGGAACCCUUAUUCCCAAUGCCUCAUAGGUCCAUAGGAGGCAGGAACUUUCCACUCCGUUCCCCUGGAGGGAAACAUAUGAAAGCACACUCUUCACUCACUCCUCCUAGGAGAGGUGGAGCAACCUCCCUGAUAGGUGGGUUGAAGACAAGGAACUGAACAUGCUUGGCUCAAUGCUUUCUGGGGUCCUGUUUUCUGCAGAGGUGCACUCUGGUAUACUUUGUGCACACCUGCAGUUGUCCCGCUGUGCCAGUGCUUGAGUCAGUAAGUCUAUCUUCCUCAAGAGUAAAAUAUUAAGAAGUUCAUUAUGGCUGCACAUAUAAGCCAUGUCCUGUCUUCCAGCGUUUGCUGUGAAUAACAUAGACACUUCGCUCUCCAUCUCUCUCACUUGUUCCUGAACUCAGGUGCUGGAAGACAUGAAGACUUUCUUCCCUUCUAAAAUUCCCAGAGGAUUCAUUGCCAGUCAUCCCAUAGAAAAGGAGUCAUUUGGGAAAAUGUAGCAGUAUUCCAGGAACUUCUUUCACUUUUUAUCUUUCAUAGAACACACUCAAACCAGUUGCCAUCUUGCCAAAACUGCAGAAAAAUAGGGAGCCAGGCUUAACUAUGUCAGAGAGCUAGUCUUUUUUUUUUUAAACUUCUUCACAUCCAGCUCAUUUCCUGUGUCAUUAAGUUCUGGUCACCAAAUGUCCUACCUCAGUGAUAUUAACUUCAUUUUUCAUUUUUCCUCACUACCAUUUCAUA